GUGCCAGAAUGAUGUUAGAGGUUAACUCCUUAAUACUAGUAGAGGACAAAAACUGUGAAAAUGAAAAUUACAUAUCAGCAAAAUAUAACAAAAAAUAUCUGUUAAUUUUAGGUAAAAGCUGAACUGGGCAGUCUAUGUAUGAUCUAUAUGACCGUACAUUAUUGAAUUCUUAUAAAUUAUAAGUAGUAGUAUAAGUUCAUCCUGUAUCAAGGCACAAACUUGUGUUGAAGUCAGUGAGAGAAGAUCAGCUGUUCGUUGGUCUGGUAGCUCAGUGGGCAGUGUGCUAGCUUGGAAGGUUCUGGUCCACCAGGUUUGCUCGAGUGUGUCAGGUCCACAGUCUCUGGUAACGAUCUCAACAACACAACGUGACAGAGUUCUUCACGAUGCUGGAACAGGAGGAACGUUCAUCGUCCUGUUGAUGAUAAAGUUAUUAGUCUGUGCUGCAUCCUCCACCAGGGGGCAGUAUAAGAUCAGCUACUGCCACCAGCUGUGAACAAUGAAGACACAGGACGUUGUUUGCAGAACGAGACGACUGAGAGCAGGAGGAAGCAGUGACGCGUGCCUUUAGAGAUAAAAGUCUUCUGCUCGCUGUCUCUGAGAAGCAACAGAAAUAAAAGGACGAGCGUCAAGAUGAAGGAGGGAGGAAGAGGAGCAUUUAGAGGGAAUAAGAAAGAAGGAGGCUGUUAAUGAAAGUGAAUUGUGCUGCUGUCUGAGAGAAGAUGGAGGCUAAACAAAUGGAAAUAGAGGUUGAGACGUAUGAGAUGAAAUGAUAAAGUGGAGGAGCGGCGGCUGAGAUGAUGAGAGCUGGGCCACAGGUGCUCCGUGUGACUCCAUCAGGAGGAGCAGAUAGCAGCCCCCCAGGGGGAAGGACUGACAGCUGACACCAAGCAAAGUAAAGGAACCAAGCUGCUCUGAACAACGACUCCGUCAACGCCUCUUCUUCUGUGACUCAGCAGCUGUACGCUCGCUGUCUGUGAUGGUGACGUCACAGAAGAGAACAUUUACAUGCAGCUUCUGAAACAGUACAACUCAAACCACCUUUCAUCCAUCCUCAUGUUGGUUUGUUCAUCGGGAGCCAAUCACUGAGGGUCGACAGGUAGGAGGUUGGAGGACCACAUACCCACAAACAGAACCGGUAACGUGAGUUUCAUUGGACUAUUCACUGAAUUAUUCACAGUUCAUCUGCGAGUUCAGUGUCUCGGUUCCAGAGCGGCACCAGCUCCUCACCCCCAGAUGAGUCUGACACUGCCUCACGUCUUAUCGAUGCUCUCAUCUCCAGUUCCGAAGUCGAUGUGAAGCAUUCACCUGCAUCAGCAGCACGUGUUCUGUGUGUGAAACCACAACGCUGCAGCUCUGUGCUACUAUGAAGCUGCACACAUCUAAACUCUGGUCCUGGGUCCAGAGCUGUGUCCAGAACCAGCAUCAGCUCCCUGAAGUUGUGGUGCUGUUUCCUCACAGCAUCACAACUUCAGAACUUCAAAAUGGGCUGAACCCCAGGGAGCACAGAGGGGUCCCAGGCUGGAAGCAGGGCUCUGCAGACGGCAGCAGCGCCGUCCAUCACAGCUGGAUCCGUGCCAACAGCCACACGAGCAGCAGGAUGACAUCAGACGGAUGCACAGACUGUUUGGACUCUGUGGAACAUAUAGAUGCUGGCUCAGCACCAGCCAGUGUCUCAGCAGCCAGAGCAGACGACCUGUAGCAGCACAGUGACAAAGCCCCACAAUGCAACAGGCCCAUCAAAACAGCCGCCACACGAAUGAGGCGGAUUAGCGGGGAGGACGUCAAAGCGUCACGGAUGCUCCUUUGUGUCAGUAACUGGACUGUCGCUCGUCCAUCACUGCGAGCGGUCCAGGCACACGCACGCUCGCCUGAGCCUGGAUCUCCUUUUGCUUGUUCUUUCCAUGUAUUUUAUAGUCAUAUAGUGAAUGAGAACAGAAACAAGCAGCAAAUAGACAAAGACAAACAUUCAUAACACAAACAUGGAAGUUGGUAAACAAUGAGCUGAAGCCGUGGAAACCGUCGUCACUUUCUGGCAUCACGGUCUGUAAAUGUGUCAGAAUCUGCUCUUCUUUCCUGUUUAACUGGUGGACGACAGCGUUUUACCAACGAGAGAUAAACAUGAGACAUGAGAGCAGCAGUAAACAAGUCAAACAUUAAAGACGUCGCUCACCUCAUCCCGUCUUAAUAACGUCUGUUUUCAUGUUUUCCUUCACACCCACUGACGGAACCAGAUGGGU